AUAAUGCUUUCAAAUACCUUUUGUUUGUAUAUAUCUACAACUGAUAUGAUCCACCAUUUUCUCUUUACUGCUGCUCAGAGAUAAAAUUUUCCAUGGCUCCCUGGAUCUCAGGUUAGUUACCUUUCAAAAUUUAUCUAUUCACCAACACAGGAAGAGAUUUAUGAUUUAUGUAUAUGUUGAAUGGUAAUCUUUAUUGCACUACCAAUUGCAUUUUCCAGACUGCAGAACUAAUUGCAUUCUGCUGUUGAAAACAAAGAGCCACAUAUCAGACCUUCAUUUUCAAGGUGAGUUGCUGCUGCACUUUUCCCAGCAAUCUUAUUUGUUUUCCAGUUCCCAUUUUUUUUUCUGUUGUUGUGGUUUUAUAAUAAGUUUGAAUUUGAAUGCUUUGUAUUCGUUAUCAUAUUGGGUGUUAGAAACUGUCAUUUUAUUAUGAAAAAGGUCAAAAUAACAGCAGUUUUCAUAUUUUGAUCAUUUGAAGCGUGUUAUGAGAAAUCCUACACCCACAGUGAAAAAUAUCAUUUUUAUUUUGACAAUAAAUGUCCUGAUACGUAAAAAAUUAGAAAGUAUAGUUCAUAAAUACUUAAGAAUCCAACGAACAAUAAAAUUAUCUCCCUCUUUGAAAGUUAAGCAAAUACUUUAUAGUUGAACUCAGUCUUAUCUUUUGUUUGAUCUUUACGAAAGGAGAGAAUGUGAAUAGUGUGCACUAUUUAUAGUAGGUAUGUUAGUGUGAUUUAUUAAUUUAUAGGGGCAAGUCAGAAAAAGGUAGUCAAACAUGGCGAUAACCUUUACUUGUCUGGUUUGAAUAAGUCUGAAGGAGGGAUUAUGGAUCUCAAAUGCUCAUAACUGAGCAAUGCAAUUUGUGUCAUUAGUUUUCAGUUACUUAGUUUAUCUGCUAAUGAUAUGGUUUGGUAUUCUUGCAGCAUGUUUGGUUUAAUUCUUAUAUGGUUUUGACUUAAUAAUAUUUUGUCAUUCAUAUUUCUUAUACCAUAAUACCAACUAAAUUAUUUUAUGCAAUAUAAUUUAGUCCCUUUUGAUAAAGUAUAAUAACUUUAUAUGAUAUAAUACUUAUCCGUAGUAUGAUGGUAGCAAUUUUCUGAAAAAAACAUUUAUGUAAUUCAUAAUCAUCAUUAUUGAUGAUGAUAUUAGAAAAAGAAACACGUAAGAAACAAAUUUGACGGAAAGCAGUUGUACGGUUUUGACCAACAAAGAAAAGAAUAACAAUUUGAGCAUUUAUUUUGAUUAAUAUAAUCCAAAAAACUUUCGUACAAACCAUCACAACUUGAUGUGUUGCAAAAAAAAUAAAAUCGUACAAACCCAUCAAUUAGAGUUAGAGAAGUGGACAAAAAUUAAGCUACAUUAUUUAUUUAUAACUUUUGUUAAGAAAAAUCAUAUUUUAUAACAAUUCAUUUCAAUAUUAAUACAAAUAUUGUAUCGCAAAACCAUUUUAUGUCUUCUAACCGAAUAUCAAAAUAAUAAAUUUAUUUUUGUUGCAUCUUCGUUUGAUUAAAGUUAUCUUUCUUUAUAAGCAAAAAAUACGUAGAUAUAUAAAUUAAAAUGGCUUUUAUAAAUUAAUUUAUGUAUAAAUCUUUUUUUUUCUUUUAUAGAAAUAGUUAUAGAGAUAAAGAAAUCCCUGAUAUCUAAACUUGUAUUUUAUAACUAAUCGUCUUCUGUAAUCUCUAUUUACAGAGUCAAAUAUUUUUAUGACCAUGUUGAUUUUUUUUAUCGACAGAAUAUAAUAAAAUAAUUUUUUUUGUAAGUAGAUUUUUUCUCUUGCUUUAUUCACGUCUUGUAAGUACAAUAUUUAUUGGCUUAAUCCAGAAUUCACGUCUAUAAAUUUCUUAAAUAUACCUUUUUACCAUAAAAAAAACACCAUUUUUUUUGUAAGCAAGCAGAGCAAUUCAUGUUAACUGGUAUGAAAGGUACCAAAAUUAUAUACAACUAGUAAAAUAAUAAUAAUAAUUUACUAAGAGUUAUUACGUUAUAUUUAGCUGUUAUAUGAAUAAAUUCUACAUCAGCAGCACAAAAGUAGACCAUAACGGGCCAAAAACACCACACUUUAAGAAGGAACACAUUUUAAUGUCACUUUAUCUAUACCAAACUUAAUUUGCUAUAUUACAUUUUUUAUCAGAGAAAAAAAUUAUAUAAUUAGAGCAGCUAGAUGUUCCAAUCAAUUUUCAAGAAAAAAAAAAUCUACAAAAGAGAUAAAAGAGACAAAGAUAAUAAACACAUUCGUUACCCUAAUAAUAUUUCUAAUUGACUUAAUUAAUAGUGUUAUUGUCAAAUAUUGACGUUUAAAUCCUUCUAAAUCUAUUUGUUAAUCUAAUACUAUAAUUUGUACAACGUUAUUUUUUUUAAUUUUUUUUCACCAAGUUGUCAACGUUAUGAACUAGUCUUUAUAGGGCACCAAACAUUGAGAGUACUCAAAUCAAAGAAUAUGACUUUUUUUUUUCAAUAAUAAUAAAAAAAUAAUCAUAGUUGUGUUAUAUUUUCAUGAUUUUUUUAACAAAAAUAAUUUUUUUAAACAACAAAAAUAAAUAAAUAAUUAGAAGAUUUUAAGAAUAUUUAUACUUUUAUAAAAAAAAAGCGGAUUUUAGACCACCUACUUCCCUAUAAUGUUACAAUCCCUCCAAAACCUUUCCUACUUUCAUCUUCUUAUAAAACAAAACGUGUUUCUACUCGGAAACUAAUAUAUUGAACAAUGAACAUUUGCAAUGAAACACCAACAUUCAAAACACCUACAACAUUCAAAACAUCUGAAUGCAUUGUCAAAAAAAUUUUAUCAAUAAAAAAUAAAAUAAAAUAAUGUAACACAUUUAAAGAAUGGUCAAAACCUUAUAUAAAAAAAUAUAUUACUAGCAUAACCCACAAUCGAAUCUUGUAGCCCAAUGAAUAAUAAAAUAAGAGCCCAUUAAUGACAAAACAGUUGUGUAUUGUCAUAGUAACAUGUUUAUUCUAAAAAAGUGUCUUAUAUGUUAAUUCAAUAUAUAAUUUUGUUUUAAAAUUGUUUAAUUUCAAGUAAAUAAAUUAAUAAAUAUAGCAUUAAAAAGCACACACGUGGGCAAAAUAAAAGAAAGCAUCCUAAAACUUUAAAAUAUUUCAAAUCAAUAUGAAGCAUAAAAAAAUGAACAGUGUCUUCUGUUCGAAUUUUUAAAAUGUUACUCUGUUAAAUAUUCAUGAUAAUAACCAUGUCGUGUAAUAAUAAGUUUUGCUAAUGGUUUCUUUUUUUUGUAAAGAUCUUGCCGAUUACUUUUAAUAAAAUAUUUUAUUUAAAUCUCAUUUUUUCUAAAAUACUUGUGUUUUUAUGGGAUUGGAAUAUACUAUCAUUUAGAUUUUUUUUAUAUACUAUCAUUUAGAUUAACAAAGACACGUGAUAUUAGUAAACUUAUUUUUUUACACACAAUGUGCAUUUAAUUAAAAAAUGGUCUUAUAGUAUAAAUUUGAAUUUCUAAUUUGAAGAGUGAUUUUUUUUUUCAUUUAUUUAUUUAUUUAUAUUGUUGAUGUGUUUUUAAUCCGCCUUUGUUUUUAAUUUUAUUCAUUUUUUCUGCAAAAAAAAAACGCAAGAAAAAAAAACAUCUGGACACCACUCAUCCAAAACUGUUCUUAAUUUUUUUAAAAACUUAUAAUAAAAUUUAAAUUACAGUCAAAUAAAAUAAAUAUUUAUCCUCUAUGGUACAUAUGAUAUAUACUAUUUUUGUUGAGGUAAAAAUUAUAUCAAUAAUUGAAUCCCUAUAUACAGUUGAAAAAAGAACUCGCAGAAAAUGUUGUUUCGUCUCUGUGCUUAAAAUAUAGUGAGAAAACAGGUUUCACAUGGUGGUAGAAAAGUGAAUAUAAGAAAUGAAUGGAUAUGUAUUACAGAGUUAAAGUUUGUUUUUGACAUAAGAUAAACGUAAGAAGAAAAAUGAGUUAGGUUUUGAAUUUUACUUUUGUAAAAAAUGAAGGGAUCUCUCUGAAUGGAAUGUCUAUUCAGUGCUUUGGUUAUUGGUGCAGCAAUGGAAUCACAGUCCAUUAUUUUGUAUUUGUUUCACUUUAAUUAUGACUAGUGAGAUAGGUAUUAAAUAUCAUGCACACUAGAAAGAAGGAAAAUGGAGAAUUAGAAAUGAAAGUAGAGGAAGUAUAUAUCUAGGCAUGUGACUUUCACUCCCCUUUAUGGGGCUUCCCUUGAUUUGAAGGUAUGGGUAUCUUAAGAAGGGCACAAACCAAAAGAUGACAGAAAGGGUGAUGAGAAGAGACUGAGAGUUAGAUAAGGUGCAGAAAAUAAAGGCACACUUGUCUGGGACUUGCUGCAAUUAUUUUGUUGCCCUAAUAAUAACCUUUAAGCCUAAAAGAAAAUGUCAUUUUCUGUCACACAAGGACGCACUGCCUGUUACUAUUUGAGCCCUUAUUUGGUGUUUUCCUUGGGUAAUCAUUCCAAGCUACUCCAUUAUCUUCCAUUUUCCAUAGCCAUUAGGGUUUCUCUCUCAGGCCUCAAUGUCUUGCACUCACUCUUCAAUUUCCCUACCUACCUAGGGCUUCUCAUCACAAUUCCUAUCAGAACAACCAUCACUCUCUUCUGCCUCACCAUAUCUGCAAAUCUUAGGGAUUUGCUGUUGCUUUGCUAUUAUACCUCAUUUCUGGAUCCGGGUAUAUUCCUCUUCCUUAAUUUAGUUAUCUUCUUUCUCUCCCUCUCUCAGUCAGAUUUGUUCCUUGCAGAUAAAAUAAACCUUAUUAAAGUGAUCAAAAAAUAAAACCCCAGAAAGGGUUUCAAGGAUGCAUAUAUAUGGAGUUCAAAACCAUACUUUUCUUGUAGAAAAGAAGACAACAUUUUGAACAUUUCAGUGAUUUCUGUGAGAUUUUUAUACUAUUUUUGCUGCUGAAAGAGAACUAUUACUUCCACUGCUGUAGCUGAAACAAAUGGGUGUAUGGAUCUGGCAAGAAAGUUGCUGACUUAGCAUUUGGAAGAGCUGCAGUAUGCUUAUCUGUUCUCUAGUCUCUAGGGCUUCUCACAGCCUUCCUUUCUCUUUGCUCGCAUGAAUCUGUUCUUCUUUUUCUUCUUGAUAAAAAUAACACAAAACAAAGAAAAUGCUCUCAUGGGAUUCAUGAUUCUUAACCUCUUAUUGAUUUUCUUGGGAUUCAUGACUGAAAGGAAGACAUGAACAGAAAAUUUUAAGAAGAUUAUCAGAGAAGACUGGGAUUUCUGUCUUCUAAUUACCACUCUCCAUUGAAAGCUGAUAACAGGGAAAAUGAAAAAAAAAAUUAAAUUUGUAAUAAUAUUUUUUGUUUUGCCUAGUUUAUUAUUUUCAAUGGAAAAUAUUCAAGUUUUGAAACAAAAUGUUAUAAAAAAGCGUAGUGCAUUAAAAUUAUUAUUUUCUAGUUGUUUUUGUUAGAGAUAAUCUGUUAUAUAUCCGUUUUAUAUGUUUUGAAUUUGAGAGUUUUUCGAGGCAAUAAAAACUCCAGUGAACUCUUAACAUGAUUUUUUUUUUAAUUUUUAAUUAAUAUUGAGAAACAAUACUUUUUUGUUUGUUUGUUUUAACACAAUUUUGCGCGUGCGUAGAUUCAAUUUUAUAUGGAGAAGAAAGAACACAACUUAUUUAAAAAGUGUAUUUUCUUCUGUUUGUUUGGUCUGUUUGUUGUGAUAGCUUUAUGAUGUUGGGUGGUUAGGGACAAGAUUUAGUCAAAACUUUAUACAAUUUUAUUUUUUUAAUUUCUGAUAAAAAAAUACAACUUUAUUUUUAUGUUCAACCAAAUGUGUUUUCAAACUGGUCAAAAAAUUGAAACUCAAAAUACUAGUAUUACUAUAACCUCAAUUAAUGGAAUGAUGGCUUUGAAAUGAAAUUUUAACGAUACGAACUUGAAGAAAUAGAGGUAAAUUUUCCACUCAAUUAAAACAAAGCAGUUUAUAAAUAUUUUUGGGAUUAUUAUAAUUAUUUAAACAUUAUUAUAUCGAUCUCUAAUUUUUUUUACAUAAAAACUUAUUGUCAGUUAAGAAAUGCAAAAUAGAAGUGAACAGGGAUUAAAUUCAGCAAAUUAAUUCGAGGACUAUACAGCAAAAUUUCCGUUAGCAACAGUACUAAUAAUUGAAACUUUUUAGAUUCCUUUUCCAUCUUUUAGAAGGAAUCAAAGCUACAGAAAACAAUAAUAUAUUUUCUGACCUAUAUAUGAGUUUAACUGUUAUCACUAUGUGCCAAAAAAAAUCUAUCUUUACUAUGGAUAUUUUAUUGAUAAAUAAUCAUAAAAAUAGAUUUUUUUAUCGUAAAAAAAAAAAAGCAAUAGAGAUAUUUUAUUCUUAUAAAAAAUGUGUAAACAUGGUGUCUAUACAUAAAUAAAACUACUAUUCCUCGUCUCAUCAUAAUCUUUUAUAUUUUUUAAUAGACAUCAUAUAAAUCAGAGAAACAUGUUGAGUUUAGGGUUUACUAUGUCAUCUAAUAUCAAGUAUACAAUUCUGUCAUCAAAUUUUUUUCCAAAUAAUCUAUGUGCUUGUUUUUGAAUAUCUUUUUAUUUCUAUACUUGCACGCAAGUCUUAUAAAACCGGAUAUUAAGAAUUAUUUCAAAUUGAACUGAAACUUUUCUAAAUAAAUAAAAUUAAGAAGCAACAUAUAUAAAUUGAAGUGACACUGUGCUGAUAUUCUGAGCCAAAAAAGAGUAAUUGUUUGGCUUUUUUCUCUGUUCAUAAGUAUUUUAUAAAGAAAACCAACAAAUCUGAUACUUCUUUUCUUUUUCUCCCUUUGUUGACUGUUUACUUUUGACCAUAAGAAAUGGAAUAUUUACACAACUCACCCCAUCAAAUCUAUAUUUCUCAUAUAACACUCUGCACUUUCAUCUUCAACCUAAAUUUUUAUAUUAUAUAGAAAAUUUUAAAUUUUGAAUUCAAGAACAAUUCAAAGAAAAAAUAUACUUAUUAUUUUUUUUAUUGACAAACACAAAUAAAUCAAAUGGAAUAUUUAUGGAAUGUUUUUACUUUCUAUGUAAAACACAACACUGAACACAUGUGUCUCUCUUAAAUAACAAAAACACAUAUCCAGCUAACAGAUACUCUUAUAUUAGAAAAUAAAAAAAUGUAACAUCUAUAUUGGAUGAAAAAGAAAAAGCAACUGUGUAGAAGCAUAUUCUACAUUUAUUAUUAAAAUUCAACUUUUAAGACUUUUCAUUCUUUCUGUUCAAGUACAACUCUAACAGUAGAAUUUGUAUACAUUAAAUAAGUGUGUUGUGUUCUAGAUAUAUUUUGUAUUUUUUCCUUUAAAAAGCUUUAGAAUAAAUUGUAAACAUAGUCGUAUUGUGAAUAAAUGAUUCUCAAUUAUUUUAUUUUUAAAACUCUAAAUUAAACACUCUUACAAACAUAAAUAUAAUAUGAUAUCUGGAUCAACACAUUCGCUUGCAUAUACACUGAGAAUUUUGCAGUAUUGGAUAUAUUGUCAUUUUUGGCGUAGUUUUUUUUUUAUUCAUUUGGAUUUGACCAUUUCUUCAUCCAUAAAGGAAGCACGUAUCUAAAAGCAAAACCAUUCUGCAAAUAUUGUUAUGUGCUGUAAUUAUGAAAUUCAUGAAAAUGACUAAACAUCGAUAUCUGCCUUCAAAGUUCCAAAAAGUUAUAUCAUCUACUUUAUAUAUAAAUAAAUUCUUUAACAAUUUUGUCUUCUUUAAGUUUCUUUCUUUCUUUCUUUCGCUUUUAAUUUUUAACUUCAUAUUUCUCUCCUUUUCUUGUCUAUCUUUAUCUUUGUAUCACGAAAUUUUACAAAUAGAGUUUAUCCAUUCCAAAUGCUUUUAAAUUAAGUUAAAAGGGGUUUUAAGCUCAAAAGGGGAGAAUAGUUAACGCGUCUCAUAAUUUAAAUUUAAUCAUAGUUUAUGUUUAUUGUGUGAUAAUUUUUUCACUGCCUCUGUGAGAAAUUGUGUUUCUUUUUUAUUUUAUAUAUUAAAGUUAUACUUGAAAAUUAUUUUAUAAACUAUGUUUAUCAACUUAUUUUAUAUCAUUUUAAAUUAUUCGUGUUAUAAAUUAGAAAUAAUAGAUAUUAUAGUCAUUCAAAACCAUGAUAUGUCCAAUAUGGUAUUUAUAUUUUCUCUUUCCUCGAAAAUCAGUAUAGAAAAAUAUGCAGUUAGGUUUAUUCACCUUUUAAGUUAAAGAAAGUAAAUUUCUCCAUGAAUUUGUUCAUUUUGUCAACGUAUUCAAUUAUAUUUUUUUUAUGGAUAAUAGUUUGUAUAUAACUUACGGCUACCAAAUAGUUCACGCAAUAAAUAUAUAUAAUAGUCAACAUUUGAAUCCCUAUGAUUUUGGCUAUUGAAUGGCUAGUGCCAUUAAAGUCAAGUAGUUGCUUUUUUUUGCAUAAUACGAGACAUCUCACAUUUUACUAUUCAAAGACCAGUAAGGUGCAUAAAAACUAAAAUACUUUAUGCACUUUAAUACUUAAAGUAAACAUUUUCUUUUAUCUGUAAAAAACAAAUAAAUAAAUAAAUAUUGAACAGUUGAUGGAUGCAUCAAUUCUAUUUAAAAAGAAAAUCAAACCAAAAACUUCCAACCUAAUCUUCAAAAUCAAAGACAACUAGAUAAUUUAUGUCUCAUGUAACAUAAUCAACAACGUCCUAAAUAAACAUAUUACUAAUUGUGUAUGAAAAGACUCUACUCAGAUAAGUAAAAUAUAUUUUAAUUAUUUCUUUACAAUUGCUUCAUCAUAUUGCUAUAAAAAAAUAUGAACCUAUAUACACAAUCCAACUUUUGAAUUUUCCUUAUAAAUUUCGUGUAUUGUAAUUUGUUUUCUUCUACCAUCCAUUGUAAUCUUAUCAUCCAUGUAAAAUGUGAAAACUAUCUUAUCUUUUGGUUGAAAUAAGAUUAUUUAAGACAUGCUUGGUUUGGUCUUUGUUUGUGAUCCUAAAUUUAUGUGUUAUAAUUAAUGGAUCUAAAUAAUUAUAUUGAAAAUUAAAAUGGAUAAGUUAAUGAAACUUGUCCUGAAAGUGGAUAUAUAGUGGAUCAUCACCCAAGUGUCAAUUCAGUCACGUCUAUAAAGCUAUAAGCUGAAUUCACAAAUUGGAAUACACUUAGGAAGUUAUCCACAGACAACUACAAACAUACAUACAUCUGAGAACUAACCCUAACACUUUUCCGAGGGAUGAUUGGACUUUGAAAAAAAACCACCACACCAAAUAAUAUGUCAAAGUAGCAUCAACAACGCUAUUAUAUGUAAAAUGAUAUGACAGCAAUAGCAGCAUAAGUUCUUUUCUUAAUGCAUAUCCAACCAGAGUUAGGAAAAGGAUUCAAUUAAUGAAAACCCCACUGAGACAAAUUAUGAGAUAUUAACAAACAAAAACAUGGAGUUGGGCACCAAAAUGAAAGAAGUCAAAUUUUAUAUAUAGAGAAAACAUACAAAUUAGCAUUCACGAAAUAUUGUUUCCCAUAUGCUAGUUGACGGAAUAUACCUUACCACAUUACAUGCCAAAAGGAAAGUAAAGAAAUACACAGCAUGAUUGUAUUUUAUUCUGCUGACACAAAACACAUGAUGGGUGCAAUCCAAGAUGAACGCAAACACUAGAUGUGAUCGUUGUAGGCUUCCCAAGGUUUUCCGAAAGACUGAAAUUCCGCAAACUGAUGCUGCAAACAAUUUCAUGAAUCAAACAUCAGCAACAUUACCGAUACUCUUUGUAUAAAUAGAAAAUGCAUGCUUUCAUUCAAACAGCAACGUGCUAAUGGCUAAACCAAGCAUGCACAUAUGCAUAUAUAAAAUAUAUAUUUGUAAUCCAAUGGUCUUGCCAACACACACUGAUUAAUAUACAGAAAACUCUUGUUUGAAAUCACGGUGGAAUUGUUGUAUCGGUAACAUUCUUUUUCAAUUCAUUUAAUUUCUUAACUGGUAUUCUACAAAUCAUGCUAUUUUUUGUGUGGAUGUGAGGUUAACAACUAUGAUCGAUGAAUUUUAAACUUACUUCGUGAAGGAUUGCUGAGUUGUUGAGAGAAUUGAAUACCAUGGUUGGGCUCCACUUGUUCAUGAUCACGAAAGAAUUAACUUCAUGCGGCGCUAUGUCCUCCACGGUGCCCAAAUGUUCCUUUGCGUGAGAAGUUGGUUCUUCAGGCUCAGGAAGGUGCACAUCCAAGGAGGGGUGGUUCACGCUUUGGCUCUGAGUACCCGGAGAAUCUUGAACCGUUUCAAAGGGGUUCCAAGAACUCAAAGGGUUAAGGUUUGAAGCAUCUGCAGCAAGUAGUCUCCGACUCCUCAUCUUCUCUCUUGUUCUUUCUCUCGCCCUUUCUCUUGCCCUUUCCCUCGAUUCCUUAUCCGUAGUAUUGAAUGCAGUCUUUCUACAAACCUUACUUGUUCUUCUCUUCAUGUUGGGUGUCUCCCUUUCCUGCUCCUCGUUAACUCCACUCACUGCAACCUCGUCCAAGCUAGACACCCCUUCGCAUUCAGAAGUUGAUGAUGCACCCUUGGCACCACCAGCACUGUUUUUUUCCCUUGCAAGUUGUUUGAUUUCAACUUUUGCUUGGUCUAGUAGCCACUCGACGGUUUUGCUGGCCUUGUCAAAGCCUAGCAUGUCUUGCAACCCGAAGAACCUCUUUGCAACUUCGAGGGACAACCUCAUUCUUCGGUCUCUGAGGCCUCGUGCGGUGUUGAUUUUGCUGUGACGAUCUCUCUUGCUGGAUCUCUUCCUGGCAGUGUGCUCCAUAGGGACGUCGAGGAAGGAAUUGCCACCUUGUCCAAAGCAAGGAAUUGGCGCGAUUUCGGCAGCAACGUCGAGGUUUCUGGAGAUUCCGGGGUCAGCUAGAGACUGGUGAAGUAAAAGCAGGUCAUGGUGGUGUUCGAGAAAGAUAUUUUCGUCAAAGGACUGGAGAAAGGAGAAAGGAGGAGGAAGAGGAGGAAGGGCGUAAUUGGAAUUGGAUUGGUCUUUUGAGGAAUUUGUUGGGUUGCUUUCAAAGGAAAAAGGCCUAAAGCAAAAUGGUUGGUUAGGGUACGAGAGUAGGUCAUUGCCGUUGAGGGAGGUAUUUGAGGAAUACAUAUCUGGAAUUAAUAUUAAGCUAUGGGACUGCACCAAAAUAACCCUACCCUUCAAGAUGGAACUGGUUAUUGGUUGGGACUUUCAAUGCCUGAGAACGACAUCUUUGCUGCCUCUAACUCCCUAUUGAAAAAGAUAGAGCAGGUGUUAAUUCUAUCCUUUUCCAACCUCUCAUUUUUUUGGUUUGGCUGUUUCCCUGCAAGUAAAGGAAGACAUAACAUAGUUUGAGAAAGACAACCAUGUGAGUAUUGCUAAUUAAUACUUACUACCAAGUACUACUGUUAUUUAUUUUCACCUAGGGGUGAGUCUGAUGAGUGAGAGGGACAAGCCUACGGAUUUGAUGCACCAACGUAUGUGUGUGUUUGUGUUCGUGUUCGUGUGUGUGUCUGUGUUAGUUUGUGUGAGAGUGGUAGCACAGUAGAAUUGGCUUGAUCAAGCAAAGAGUAGUACAGUGUGAGAAUGACAGCACAUAGAGGGUUGAAUUAUGAGAGAGGGUGAGGUUGGGAGAGGUAGAGUAGUGCGAGUACUAAAGAAAAUGUGUGAGACAAAGGACCCAACAAGAGCAAUUUAUUGUAGACAAGGGGCAUCCUUUUUCUUAAUCGUUUCUUUUGAGCAAAAAGUUAUGAUCUCUUUAGAACGAUAACAUUGCAAGAACAAGUGAGUGGAUAGGAAAAAAGUUAUAGUUUGUGCCACUUCACGUGGUGCGCACAGCACACACGCGAGUUGACAGGAAACUAAAACCAACCUCCUCACUUCCCCCACACCACACCUUUAAUUUUUCUCCUCUACCAGCUUCACUUCUGACACUGUUUCUGCUACAAUUUUCACUAAAUUUAUCUAUAAAACUAUCCACAAAAAUAGUCCAUAUUAUCAUACAAAACAUUAACAUGAAAGGGACAUGUUUUGUUACGAAAUUUAUGAGUAAAUGGCAUAUAUCAGAUAAUUAAACUGGUAUUGGAUAAAUGUUGAAGAAGUAAUUUGAUUGUUGAAAUUAAGGGUACUAUUUGCGUUGAACGUUGUCCCACAGAGCAUGGUGCGUAGGAGUGGGAUGUCACAUGCCGUGACUUUUUAUGGGAAGAUUCACAUAACUCAAAUAAUUUCAUUUCUUCUUAUUAUUCCCUUUGUCUUUUUUAACUAUAAUUUUGAUUCACUGUUGGAAACCUACACGUGUCCGUGUGUGUCUAACCCUAAAAGUAGAUAAUGGGGAAACAAAGUACAAUUAUUUCCAUGGAAUGGCUUGUAAUGGUAGCCAAUGCUCCCUUUGACUGGGGUUGCUCAGGAGGUCACUUUCUCCAAAAAGAGAUGCGCUAUCAUUCUCACACUCACUCACUAUCUAACACUAUCAUCACUCUCUCUCUUCUUGUGUUGUGUUUGUGGUGGAUGUCAAUGUAUGUGUGAGUAUCUAUCCAUCUAGCUAUCGAUAUCAGAGUGUGUUAGGGAAUGUUGUUGAUGUUGGCUGGUUCUCUUCUCAUGCGUGCUGCGUGCUUAUCUAUCUAUCGGUUAUGCUUCCUUUGAUAUAUAUAGUGAAGUAGGUUCCUCUCUCUCUCUAUCUAUGUCUGCCUCUGUGUGAAGAAAGAAAGGAAGCAAGAUAGAAUGGUAGCGCAGUUGUGGUCUUGUGCCUGUACUUGCCACUGGCAUGUAUGUGUAGAGUAUGACACCCUCCAAGCCCUAAUAACCAAUUGCAACUUGCCAUAGAUCUAAAAACACCCCAUGAUCUCUCCCAACUUGGUGUCAAAAUGGCAAUAGUCCAUCAACACUUGAAAGCACUCUAUAGUACACCAAAAUUUUCUGUUUUUUCUCCCUUUCUCUUUCUGUCUUUCCAUUUAUACAUGCCGUUCUCCCCACCACUUAUACGUCCAACCCUCUCACUAUCUCUAUCUAUCUAUCUAUAGCUAUAGCAGUCUCGAUCAAGACCACUUUAGAUGGCAUAAUUGCAAGGACCACAUGAUAGAUAUAUGGCAAAGCAAAGGGUU
rnacentral:lncRNA from 1 species